UACGUAGGGUGCGAGCGUUAAUCGGAAUUACUGGGCGUAAAGCGUGCGCAGGCGGUUUUGUAAGCCAGAUGUGAAAUCCCCGGGUUCAACCUGGGAAUGGCAUUUGGGACUGCAAGGCUCGAGUGCGGCAGAGGAGACUGGAAUUCCUGGUGUAGCAGUGAAAUGCGUAGAUAUCAGGAGGAAUACCGAUGGCGAAGGCAGGUCUCUGGGCUGACACUGACGCUCAUGCACGAAAGCGUGGGGAGCAAACAGG
rnacentral:rRNA from 1 species